CAGCAACAGUAUCAAGGAGCUCUAUUUUCCUUAGGAAAGGUAAGACAAGAUAAAGCUCAAGCAGGUGCAGUGCCAACGCAGGACAAGUAACACGGGAACAUUUUUUAAUCGGCGGCGAAAACACGGCAUGGGCAAGGUGAGCAGCGCAGCUCCGCAGAGAUGUCACAAGGUGCCAGGGACACCAAACCCCUCGGCCGAGCCUUCCGUGCUGUGACAUCAGCGGCACCGCCGGGCAGGUGGCCACCAACAAACCGCAUCACCCACGAGCCUACGGCACAUCGAGCAGGAACAUCUCCCUCUCUCGACUCAUUAAAGUCAGGCACCACACAUGAAAUGUGAUAAACUACAGACUCUCAAGAGUGCCAGAGGAAGCCCAAGACUUGCAUCCCCCAGAGCACAACGAGACAACUCCUGGUGUAACACUGUUUUACUCUCGCAGCGCCGCAGGACCAGUACCCGGUACUGGCAAGCUGCCGGACUGAGCCGCUGCUAACCAGCUAACACGAGAUCACCACAUUGCUCCCAAGUCUCAGAUGGUCCCAGUGCAAUUCUGACCACGUAUGAAUCUGUGUCUAAACUCGAAUCACCUGAUGAUCCAAGGAGAUGGCCCAGUUUUUCUGGUCCGUAUCAAAAACCAGUAAGCCGUAACAUACUAUCGGGCAAUUUCCUACCCCUAGUGAUGAGGAAGAUUUUACUCGUAACUGCUUUCCUUAAGUCUUGAUGGGUUUCCUGCAGUAAAUCUAUCUAGGAGUGUCAGCAAUCCUGAAAAAACUGCUUGAAUUGGCCAGAACUGGGAAAAAAACUGCUGCAUUCUCAAACUUUCUUAGGAGACGAGCAAGCACGGGCUGCAGCCUCUCGGGGAACAGGGUGGGAGGAGGCUCAGCAGCACCAGCAGCGCUGGCUUGCAGGGUUUCCACCUCCCUCCUGUGCCGCAGCACCCUGCCUCCUCCCAGCAGCCUGCCACCCCACUGCGGGGACAGCGGGCUGUCACCAUACCUGCCGUGGCAGCACACCGUGGCACGAAGAAAACUUCAGUAGAGCAACGCUCCUGCAAAGGGCACUGUGUUAUGCAGUUACAGCCUAAAGCCACUUUAACACAAAGCCAACCUCAAUCUGACUCUAGAAAUCCAGUUCCUAAAAGCAAAAACAUGUUAGAAUAAGCAAAUAAGUGUGUGAGUAAUAUCUGGCUUGAUAAAUGAUGGCUUUCUCACAGGUGCAAGCAUCAGCAUAAUUUUGUAUUUGCACUACUUUAUUUCUGGUAUCUGCCAUCUGUGCUGCACUAUUUAAUAAUAAAACAGCUGACCCACAGCCUCAAAAGGAGAA